AGGUCAGUAAGGAGCGAAGGUCCCAGUCUGACCAGGGGACAAAUAGGAGAUGGGGAGAAUCGACUGCGGACUUGACAAAAUGGCGACAGAAAAAUUACCAGAAGGAUCUAUUAACUGACUUGUGGCAGCUAAGCGUUCACAGCGACGUUGCUUUUUGAUCCUUCGAUGUCGGCUCUUCCUAUCGUACUGAAGCAGAAUUCAGUAUGCGUGGAUUGUUCACCUACUUGUAGGGGACGUGAGCUGGGUUUAGACCAUCGUGAGACAGGUUAGUUUCACCCUACUGAUAAAAUGCUGUUUGUUGCAAUAGUAAUUGCACUUAGUACGAGAGGAACCGUUCAUUCGGAUAAUAAGUAUUUGGGCCUGCCUGAGCAGGCAAUGGUCCGAGUCUAUCAUCCGUUGGGUUACGGCUGAACGGCUCCAAGUCAGAAAACGUGCUGGAACGCGACGAUUACCGCCUUUUCCGAUUUUUAGUUGAAUACGAAUACAUCUUCGGAUCCUGAAUCAUACUACGCGGGGUUAUCUUACAGAGGGGAAAGGCUUUGUGAUGUUCCUGCUAAUGUUAAUUUCAAAUAUUGAAAGGGAUAAAUGCAUUGCAAACGACUUUAAUUGAACGGGGUAUUGUAAGCAGUAGAGUAGCCUUGUUGCUACAAUCUGCUGAGAUUAAGCUCACUGUUCUAUAGAUUU
rnacentral:ncRNA from 1 species